GACAAGUGCUGCUGUUAUCUCCAAAGCACAGCCUAAAACAAUAGAGACUGGAGGAGUUACAUCAUUUUCACAAGGUCAGAGGUAAGUAAGUUGCAGGAAAAGGCUUAAAUUCUGUGGCUUCAAAGCCUAGGCUCUCAUGCUCUUUGCUGAGCACAACUAGGAGUGCACCCUGGUACAAGUCCCUGGCAUCCACUAAUACACAGUGUGAGGGCAGCACAGCAGGGCUGCUUAAUGCCAUCGGCUGUAACCUUCCAGGUACCGUGGGCCAGGAGCAGCAGAUGUAGAGUCCCGGAAGAGUCCACUAAGGAGGACUCCCUUUUGGAUGGAGAGCAUGGACCUGGACAGGAGCUCAAAGUGGGAGAAGAUAGCAAUGAAGGAAUCAGAAGAUACUUCUUUCCUUGUCUCAGCUGUCCCCAGGACCAUGCCCCUGAGAUGGGGGGAAGCAGGGGCACAGGCUCGCCUCACCUCGCUACUGCUCAGAGCACCCCAGCACCGCAGAGGGCUUGCAGCCCUGCUGUUUGAUCUUAUCAGCCUGUCAGCAAGGUGAAGCGAAUGCGUCAAGCACUUUGUGCCUGUUCAUCAUUGUGGUUGCCCCCAAGUGGAGCCAGCAAGGUAACACUUGAAGCCAUUUCUGCAGAGAACGGCACAAAAAGCGGCAGCUGGCGGCAGCUCAGCGGUUCCACUGCAGUUUGAGAAAACACCCACAGAACGGUAAAGCAGCUCCAGAGACACCACAAAACACGCAGUGACACUUACGCAUGCACGGAUAGACACUCCACAGCAGUCUAAACCAGAGCCCCCGGGGCUACAGGACGUGCGCCUGUGCCAGCCAGGAAGCCGAGUGAAGAAGAAGCAGUGUUUGUCUAGGAUAGCAAGGGAGCCAGAGGCAACGCCUUGGUGUAUGGAUGCCAUAUUCUUGGAGGAGGGGAGUUUUGAGGAGAAAAAAGAAGAAAAAAAGAAUCCUUUCUAGUUCUCACCACUGAAACUGAGGGUUUCUACUUUGGAAAACUGAAAACAAUUUCAUUCUGAAGGCAAAGGCAUGAGGAGCAAGAAAGUCCAAAUUAAAGCCCUUUCAAAGCCAAAGACAUUUUCGAUCUGCUGAGCAGCAGAGUCCAC
rnacentral:lncRNA from 1 species